UGUAAAUAGAAGGUUGUAUUUAGACUACACCGCUAUUGAAUCGUGUAAAUAGAAAAUUGUAUGUAGACUAAACCGCUAUUGAAUCGUGUAAAUAGAAGGUUGUGUGUAGACUUCACCACUAUUGAAUCGUGUAAAUAGAAGGUUGUAUGUAGACUUCACCGCUAUUGAAUCGUGUAAAUAGAAGUUUGUGUGUAGACUAAACCGCUAUUGAAUCGUGUGAAUAGAGGGUUGUAUGUAGACUUAACCGCUAUUGAAUCGUGUAAAUAGAAAGUUGUGUGUAGACUUCACCACUAUUGAAUCGUGUAAAUAGAAGGUUGUAUGUAGACUUCACCACUAUUGAAUCGUGUUAAUAGAAGGUUGUAUGUAGACUUCACCGCUAUUGAAUCGUGUUAAUAGAAGGUUGUAUGUAGACUUCACCGCUAUUCAAUCGUGUAAAUAGAAGUUUGUAUAUAGACUAAACCGCUAUUUUAUCGUGUAAAUAGAAGGUUUGUGUAGACUUCACCACUAUUGAAUCAUGUAAAUAGAAGGUUUUAUGAAGACUUCACCACUAUUGAAUCGCGUAAAUAGAAGGGUUAUGUAGACUUCACCGCUAUUGAAUCGUAGUUUUACAUGGACUAGGUAGACUUCACCGCUGUUAAAUCGAUGUUUUACAUGGACUACGUAGCAUUGUUUUUGAAUUCCCAAAAUAAUUUCUAUCUGUAAAUAUAAAGGUGUAAGUGGCAGUAUGUUUUCACUGUGUAAGUCAUUUCGAAUAACCAAAGUGUAAAUGCCUUAUUCACAUUACGUUUUCACGUUCAUAUAUUUCGUUUUAUCUUCAUACUCCCAUUAAAUUGUACCUAUGUUUCAAAUUGAAGAUAUCCCGCAACGCAAUAUACAUAAUGAUGCACGUGCAUAUUGGUAUAGCUGCAUUUGUAAAGAAUUUGUUUGCACAUGUAUAUUUGUAUUUUUAAAUGAUUUACAGCGGUAAAGGCAAAACGUGUUUUAAAUACCGUGUUGCCAUCAUGGUUAUGGUUUUGAUUUUAUAUACUGAGAUGUUAUUUCGUGCAUUACUGUAAAUUACAUAUUAUUAUUUCAUUUUAUUUCUUCAUUUCGGAUGAUCGUGUAAAUACGUUGUACAAAUAUUAAAUAACAUGCUAAUGGAAUGUAAAUGCAUUAAUACAUAAAUGUUGUUGUAAAUACAUAUUUUUUAUAACCUGUAUGCAAUUAUAUUAAUUUACAUUUAAUUUUAUUACAUUUAAUUACAACGUUAUUCUUGUAAGUUGAUUUUUUCAAAUAUAAGGAUCGAUUCAAGUUUGUAGAAACGGUUCUGAAUACCGUAAAAUACUAUUUGCUCCGAUUAAUGCAAUGAUGAAUAUAUUAAAUUAUGUAGAAACGGUUUUAAUUAUCAUAUUAUUUUUUCGCAAAACAUUAUAUAACUCUGACAAAACUUUACUUUAAGUAUAUGUUUUGGUUACGAGUUACAAUCAUGCAUUAUGUUAAUUACAAUUAUUUUAUGGCUCCUGACUAUUUGAAGCUCAAUUGGUAUUGGUUAUGUAUUUUAGUUUUGAUUUUUUAAUUUGUGAAAACUACAUUAUUUUUCAAAAAUAUUUUAUUUUUCAAUUCGUUGAUAGAUAUCCUUCAUAGAUGAAGGUUAAACGCUACUUGAAAAGCAUAAAUUGUCUCCCAAUACAAUCGACGUUUAUGCAUUAUUUAUUUUGUUUUUGCAUAUGUUGAUUGUGUUAAUAUAAUUGAAGUGUUACUGGAUUGUAAAUUAUUUGCAAUGUGAGAAUUGGCCAGCCACAAUAUGCUGUUCUAAUGAUGAUAAUACAUGCACAGCUUCUAUUGACCGAAAAUACAAAAUACACGGAUAGCUUUAUUGUAAGUUUGCCAAUUUGA